CCAAAAGCGGAGGAAAAGAAACCAACUGGGAUUACCUUAGUAACGGCGAGUGAAGCGGUAAAAGCUCAAAUUUGAAAUCUGGUACUUUCAGUGCCCGAGUUGUAAUUUGUAGAAUUUGUCUUUGAUUAGGUCCUUGUCUAUGUUCCUUGGAACAGGACGUCAUAGAGGGUGAGAAUCCCGUUUGGCGAGGAUACCUUUUCUCUGUAAGACUUUUUCGAAGAGUCGAGUUGUUUGGGAAUGCAGCUCAAAGUGGGUGGUAAAUUCCAUCUAAAGCUAAAUAUUGGCGAGAGACCGAUAGCGAACAAGUACAGUGAUGGAAAGAUGAAAAGAACUUUGAAAAGAGAGUGAAAAAGUACGUGAAAUUGUUGAAAGGGAAGGGCAUUUGAUCAGACAUGGUGUUUUUUGCAUGCACUCGCCUCUCGUGGGCUUGGGCCUCUCAAAAAUUUCACUGGGCCAACAUCAAUUCUGGCAGCAGGAUAAAUCAUUAAGAAUGUAGCUACUUCGGUAGUGUUAUAGCUUUUUGGAAUACUGUUAGCCGGGAUUGAGGACUGCGCUUCGGCAAGGAUGUGGCAUAAAUUAAACU
rnacentral:rRNA from 1 species